GAUGAACGCUAGCGGCAGGCUUAACACAUGCAAGUCGAGGGGUAACGAUUGGAGCUUGCUUCAAGUCGACGACCGGCGCACGGGUGCGUAACGCGUAUAGAAUCUACCUUUUACUGGGGGAUAGCCUUUGGAAACGAAGAUUAACACCCCAUAGUAAGUAUGACUGGCAUCGGUUAUACUUUAAAACUCUGGUGGUAAAAGAUGACUAUGCGUUCUAUUAGCUAGUUGGUAAGGUAACGGCUUACCAAGGCUACGAUAGAUAGGGGUCCUGAGAGGGAGAUCCCCCACACUGGUACUGAGACACGGACCAGACUCCUACGGGAGGCAGCAGUGAGGAAUAUUGGACAAUGGAGGCAACUCUGAUCCAGCCAUGCCGCGUGUAGGAAGACUGCCCUAUGGGUUGUAAACUACUUUUAUAUGGGAAGAAUAAGGAGUACGAGUACUCUGAUGACGGUACCAUAAGAAUAAGCACCGGCUAACUCCG
rnacentral:rRNA from 1 species